ensembl:lncRNA
AUAGAAAAUAUAUUUAUUAUUUCUUUUAUCAAGCAAAUAGUGGCCUUGAUGUUUGAGCAGGCUUCCUGUAUUCCAGGUCUUCCCACUGCACAAGUCAGGCAAGCUCCCAAAUCCAGGGACCGUGGGUUUGGCAGAGCAAAACCUGCCCCAGUGCCUCUCACAGAUGUGCCAGAGGAGCAUCCUGUAGGUGUCCCACAGCAGAAGAGUCCUGAGCCCAGAGCAGACCCCUGUUCCACAGUGGAGCUUGGCUGUGGUGCUGGAGCAUCCCCUCGCUCUAGGGUUCCUCACAAAAAGGCCACCAGUGUCCCCACGGAGCCUGUGGAGAGCUGCAGAGAUCCCCCCCAGGAAAACUGGGAUUUGGAAGGUGCCAUGGUGAAGAAAAAGAAAAAGAAACCAAAACAAAGGAGAAACCAGCUGCCAAGAGGGAUGGAGUUCUGGGAGGAGAAUGGAACCUGCAGAGGAGCCAGGAGUGCUCCCUUUGGGGGGGAGUGGCAGAACCCAGCCAUGUGUCCUGGAACAGCCCCUGGAAGCAGAGCUCUGGAUGUGCCACAGGAUGCUAAAAUAACAGCUGGGAGUCAUAUCCUGGAGGAGAAAAACACCUUCCUUGUGCCAGCCCCAGGACAGCAGGGCCCCAAAUCCAGCGUGCUGGAUGGCAGCCCCAGGGAGGAGAUGGAGCCAGAGGGAAGGAGAGCUGCCAGCUGCAUGCUGGGGUCUAAGGGCCAGGGCAAAGAGGGCAGGGCUGAGGUGCAGGAAUCUGCUGCAGCCAAGGAGCCCAGCAAGGCCACGGAGAGAGACUUCCCCAGGAAAAAUGAGAAGAGAGAGGACAAGGAGUCAAAAGGUGCCGAGCUGAAGGUCAAUCUGAGCACAGCAGGAGCUCCCUUACAGACCAAACCUGUGGAAUUGCCUCUGUCCCAUAAAAACAAGGAGCCCAAAUCCCCAUCUCCAGGGCAGGAAGCACCCGGUGACUCUGUCCAGCCUUCCCUGGUAACAGCAGCCAAGAAAAAGUGGGAAAAAAGCAAAGGGUUUGAAAGGGAACCCCUCAAACAGCCUCACCUGAAGGCUGCAGCCAUGGACAAGCUCCCUGCAGAGCCAAAGGCAGCUGCAGAAAGUGAAAGAGGGUCAGAGGGAGCACUGAGGAGCCCAACAGACAGAGCUCCUGGAGCUCCUGUUCCAGUUCCAGCAGAAGCUGGGGAAGUUCCAGCUGGGCAGGGCAGGGCCCAGGGUGUCCCCAAACCUCCCAGCCCUGGUGAGGCAGGGGGCAGGGGGGUGGCAGCAGAUCCAAAGCAGGGGAAAGGGUUCCCUGGUUGUGAGCAGCAGGCUGGGACAGAGCCCAGCCUGGCACACAGCACAGACAGGCCAAAGAAAAAGCGCAGUGAAGGGAAAGGCAAAAGAAUGAAAAGCUGCUCAGAGCAGGUGAUGCUCUCAGAGGAUGGAGGCAAAUGCACUGAUGGAGCAAGGGCGGAUGAGGCUGGGAAGGAAACAGUUUAUCCUGAAAAUGGCCAGGCUGUUCCUGCCAGAGGACACCCCUCAGGCAGCCCUGCACAGGCCUGUCCUGCAGACAAGCCCAAAAAAAGAGGCAGUGAUGGAAGGAGCAAAAAGGGGGAAAGGAGCUUUUUCCAGCAGCCUUUCCUCGAGAAUAAGAUGGACUCAGGGAGUUUUCCUGAGGGAGCUGAUAAGGUGAAGGAGGGCAGUGAUAAGGGCAGAGAGCAGGGCUGUGUCCCUGCUGGGGGCUUGCAGGAAAAUGCAGCUAAAAUGCAAAGGCCAAUUGAGCUGGGACCGGAGAAACAGAACGAAAACGUUGGCAAAGGUGAAACAGCUGAUUUGGGAGCUUUAGACCAAGCUUUGCUGCUGGAGAAGAGCAGAGAGGAAGCCAAAAAUCCUGCUCUGGCUGCCACCACAGAGCAGGUGGGUUUGGCUGGGAAAGGCAGAGAGGCCGGAGCUGCUGGGCUCAGCUCGGAUGUGCCAGUGCUGGCAGAGAAACCCAGGAAGAGGAGCAGUGAUGGGAGAAGGAAACAGCCUGAGAAAAGCCCCUCUGGGCAGGCAGCUGUCCUGGGGGCUGGGGGGGAAGGCAGGCAGGAGCAGGUGGCUGCAGGCAGGAAGGAAAUGGGCUUGGCUGAGGAGAAGGGGCCUGGUUUGCAAAGAGAGAGGCUGGAGGAGGAGCUGGGGAAGCCCAAAAUCCAGGGUGGCACUGGGAGCUUCUCUGAGCAGCCAAAUCUUCCAGGCCAGAAAUCAGAGACUUCAGAGCCAGAAAUAGGGAAAGGAAACUUGGAAACUAAGGAAACUUGGCCUGUGAAUAAAGGGAAGGAAGCAGAUAAAUCCCCAGGGCACAGGGCAGGGAUGCACAGUCCCACCAGGGAGCUGGGCAUGGACAAGCCCAAGGGUAAAAGCAGAGAUGGGAAAGGCAAAAAGGCUGAGCACAGCCCUGAGCUGCAGGCAGGUGACUUCCCUGCAGUGGGACAUGUUCAACAAACUCAGUCUGAGGAGGGCAAAGAGAAUUCCAGGACUCCAGAGGUGCUGCUGGGUCACCUGCCUGAUCCUGCCAAGGCACAGGCUCCUGCUUUGCCUCUGGAGCCAGGGAAGUCACACACAGGUGGGGAAGAGAAGCACAGAAAGGGGGAGCCUGACCCCCAGCUGGAGCAUAAAGCAGGAGCAGGGAUGUUCCCUCCUGCUGGCCUGGAGAUCAGGGAUAAACCUGAGGCAGGAGGUGCCAGUCCUUGCAGCAGGGAUAAAAAUCCUAUUCCAGAGCAUCCAGCAGUGUCAGAUCCCAGCCUGGCCCCAGUCACUGAGAGAUCUAAAAAGAGGGGCUAUGAUGGAAGCAGUAAAAAGGCUAAAAAUGCCUCCAGGCAGCCUGUUCCUCUGGAGGCAGAAUCAGACAGGAGUGAGGCACAGCCUGCCAUGGGAGCUGGGCUGGAAUGUGGGGUGGAAGACACAGAUCUUGUAGAUGAAAACAGAAACAUUAAAAACUUUCCCACUGGCCCUCAAAGACUUGGGAAUAAUAAAGGAAGGGACUUGAAAUCCAUGUCUCAGAGCCCAGCAAGUGGCCCUGGGGGUGGGGGUGAUGCUCCCUGUGGCCUCCCAAAGCAGAGAGAGGGGGGUGCAGGGACUGGGGGCCUUCCUCCUCCUCCUCCUCCUCCUCCUCUGGAAGCAGUGGCAGAGAAAAGCAGCAAAGAGCCUGGAGCUGGUGCUAAGGAGGAGAUGCAGACCCAGAGAUCUCAUGAGCAGCCCAAAGAACCUGGAAAAGAGGUUUCCCAGAAAGGUGGGAAGAGCAGAGAGCCUGGUUCCCAGGGUGGCCAGCCCGAGGACAAAAGUCACCUUUGUCCCUUGGCAAAGGUGGGUGAUAAAGAAAUAAAACCCACUGAUACAAAGGUGGGUGAUAAAGAAAUAAAACCCACUGAUACAAAGGUGGGUGAUAAAGAAAUAAAACCCACUGAUACAAAGGUGGGUGAUAAAGAAAUAAAACCCACUGAUACAAAGCACAACACUGCCAAGGCUCCCUCAGAGCUUCCUCAUGAGGCAGCAGAUCCAAAACACAGAGCAGCCUCUGGAGCUGCUGAGGGGACAGAGGGACCAGAGGCCACCAUGUCCUGUGCAGAGAAGGGCACAGGGAGGUCCCCAGCCCCUGCAGGGACACCUGGCAGCACAGGGAGCAUCUCCCCAGCCCCUGCAGGGACACCUGUGGCUGUGCCAGGAGCUGGCAAGGACAGGAAGGCUGGAGGGGCUGAGCAGGGCAGGGACAUGAAGAAUGAGCAGAGCUCACCCCAACACCAGAGCACUCCCAGCACUGAGCCUGAGGCUGCUGGGACAGCUGCCCAAACUACCCAAAACCAGCCUAAAGAGAACAAAAAAGGUCCCUGUCAGCCUGCAGAGGAGGGCCCUGCUCUCCUGAAGGAUGCUCCUCGUGCUGGGGAGGUUCUCCUGAAGGUCUCUCCAGUGUCAAAGUCUGAGGGGAAUAAACCUCAAGAGAAAACCAAGGAAAAGGAUUCUCCAGCCAAAACCAAAGAAAAGGAGUCUCAGGACACAAGUAAAGAAAGAGAAACUCAAAAUACAACUAAAGAAAAGGAAUCUCAAGACAUAACCAAAGAGAAGGAAUCUCAAGACAUAACUAAAGAAAAGAAGUCUCAGGACACAACUAAAGAAAAAGAAUCUCAGGACACAAUUAAAGAGAAGGAAUCUCAAGAAGUAACUAAAGAAAAGGAAUCUCAGGACACAACUAAAGAGAAAGAAUCUCAAGAAAUAACUAAAGAAAAGGAAUCUCAAGAGACAGCCAAAGAAAAAGAAUCUCAGGACACAACCAAAGAGAAGGAAUCUCAAGAAGCAACUAAAGAAAAGGAAUCUCGAGCCCCAGCUAAAGAGACAGAAGAAGAAGGAGAACAGAAAGUGGUGAAAGAGGCAAAGAAAGAGAGAAUGAAGGCAGCAGAGCAGCUCAAGGGCUACAUGAGACCCACCAAGGCGCGGGGGGUGCCAGCCCUGGUGCCAGCCCUGGCGGGCAGAGCCGUGCCCCGGGGGCAGGACAGAGGCAAGGCAGAGGAGCCCAAAGCAGCCGAGGCCGUGAGUGGGAACGACAUCACAGCUCCUCCCAACAAGGAGCUGCCCCCCAGCCCCGAGAAGAAGACCAAGGUAGGAGCUGUUCCCUGCUCCCAUCUCUGCUCCCAGGGCUUUCAUUUCCCAGCUUUUCUGCUUCCUCAGCUGUGCCAGCCCCACUUCUGUUUUCUGA